AUGAAGAACAAUCAAUUCCACUUUUGGAUUUUCGAAUUGCGAGAAAUUUUUAGAGAGAGCAAGAAUUGUGCCUAUUUCUUAGAUUCCUGGACGCAAUUCAAUUCAGCGAUAUCUGUCAUUCACAUUUUUUUGCAUCAAGAGAGUUUGAUAAAAGUCUUAGACUCCAGAAUUUGGAGUAUCCUAGUUUCACGUCAGUCACAGGGUUUAACAAGAAAUCGAUAUUUCACGAUCAAGAAUAUGGUCCCAACUUCAUCUGGAUUUGAAUCCUACUGA